AUGGGGACCGGCGGCGCCCAAGAGGUCACGUCGUCGAUGGCUCUGAGGAGCGGAAUGACCUUGUGCGACGACAACCCCCUCGAAGAGAAGGGAAGAGGGAUGGGGAGCGGUGGCGCACAAGCCGUCUCAUCGUCGAUGACUCUGCGCCGGCGGAGCCGCGACGAUCCAAACGAAGAGAAAAGAAGUGGGGUUGAGAGAGGCGGAGCACAAGCGGUUGUAUCGUCGACGGCUCCCCGGAGCAUAGUGGCCUUGGGCGCCGACGGGCGUCCCCUCGACGGCGUCGUGCGUGCUGAACUGCUUUGGAAAUUGAAGCAUGGCGAUGGAUCCAUCUACAGAAGCGACGGUUAUUGGGCUAAAGUUUACCGUCUCUAUGAUACCAGCGAGACUUGUCUGGAGCCAAUGAUGAUGACUGUGCCUUAUGACAGUUGCAUGCCUAACUGGAGGGUCUGUGGAAGGCAUUCAUAUUGCGCCAUGAUGCAGAUAUUCUCGCUGAAGCUAGCUAACACAUCGUAUGUUGGUGACCCAGUUGAGUUGUAUGGCUACGUGGCUGUCAGAGAUCUGUUGAACCCUAUGCGCAACUAUGUCUUCAACCGUACAAGAGAUGAUCCUUUCAUUGUGGGGCAUGAUGGCCUCAUACAGAUGUCUGGUCCUAAGAGAGGCAUCAGAAUGGAAGCUACUGUGCUAAUCGAGUUUGACCUGAAGAUUAAGACAGGAGGAGAAGAAUGUGGUGAUCUAGAGCUCAUUGAUGGUGUUGCCCAAUUCAGCGACAGAGGCACAGGCCACGCUAGGGUAAUCACACGACGAUUGGAUGGUGAUUGUGGCUCAGUGGACAUAACGUUUGCACUUCUGGAACAAGCCUCGGAGGCCACUAUACAGGUUGGGAUAUCAGAAAUUCAGCAGGACAGUUGCUUAAGCCUGUGUUUGGUAGGGUCUUACACUAGCCCAUCUUAUGCUGCACGUGGCAAAAUCCAGCUGUUUGAUGGGGUUAUCGCUGCCGAGACAUCUGAGCUAACCAGGGCCGUGGUUGCUGUGGCGCAAGAUGCAAAGUUGGUUGUAACAUUGAAGCUCAGUCAGAAGGGUGGGCCGGACAUCUAUCGAUGCGAUGUUUUCCGGGUUGAAAAACAUGGAACUCAGAGCCGGCCUUUCUAUUUUGGUUUGGCCAAAGUGGAGGUGAUGGUAACUUGGUCAACUAUGGAUAUUCCCUACAAUCUUCUUGGGCCUAAUUGCUUUAGGUACGAGUUCCAGGCAUCUGAUGGCAUUGAGUUUGACGAUUGA
rnacentral:rRNA from 1 species